rnacentral:rRNA from 1 species
GACGAACGCUGGCGGCGUGCUUAACACAUGCAAGUCGAACGGUAAGGCCCUUCGGGGUACACGAGUGGCGAACGGGUGAGUAACACGUGGGUGAUCUGCCCUGCACUUCGGGAUAAGCCUGGGAAACUGGGUCUAAUACCGGAUAGGACCACUGCCUGCAUGGGUGGUGGUGGCAAGCUUUUGCGGUGUGGGAUGGGCCCGCGGCCGAUCAGCUUGGUGGUGGGGUGAUGGCCUACCAAGGCGACGACGGGUAGCCGGCCUGAGAGGGGUGACCGGCCACACUGGGACUGAGAUACGGCCCAGACUCCUACGGGAGGCAGCAGUGGGGAAUAUUGCACAAUGGGCGCAAGCCUGAUGCAGCGACGCCGCGUGAGGGACGACGGCCUUCGGGUUGUAAACCUCUUUCAGCACCGACGAAGCGCAAGUGACGGUAGGUGCAGAAGAAGGACCGGCCAACUACGUGCCAGCCGCCGCAGUAA